rnacentral:misc_RNA from 1 species
GAAAUGCGAUAAGUAGUGUGAAUUGCAGAAUUCAGUGAAUCAUCGAAUCUUUGAACGCACAUUGCGCUCCCCGGUAUCCCGGAGAGCAUGCCCGUUUCAGAACGCGAAAGAAGCGCCGCACCGCGCGGGGACCGCUUUGGCGGCCGCCGCAAGGUGGAGGCGGAGUUGGAUUUUUGCCGUGUUCUAGACGGCAAUCGUCCGAAAGGCAUCGUGCCCGCCCCGAUCGGUAGCAUCCUUUUGGUGGCUCCAAGCGCAACAGAUCUCCUUCUAUUUCGGUUGGGCCACCGCGAGGCUGCUCCUGGGAGCGCGCACCCCCCCCGUAAUUUUUUCAACGGACGGUGUGCCCUUCGGGUGCAUCGUCCGAGAAAUUCGUUCUGAAAUCGGGCAAGAAAACCCGCUGAACUUAAGC